GAUGAACGCUGGCGGCGUGCCUAAUACAUGCAAGUCGAGCGAACAGACGAGGAGCUUGCUCCUCUGACGUUAGCGGCGGACGGGUGAGUAACACGUGGAUAACCUACCUAUAAGACUGGGAUAACUUCGGGAAACCGGAGCUAAUACCGGAUAAUAUAUUGAACCGCAUGGUUCAAUAGUGAAAGACGGUUUUGCUGUCACUUAUAGAUGGAUCCGCGCCGCAUUAGCUAGUUGGUAAGGUAACGGCUUACCAAGGCAACGAUGCGUAGCCGACGUGAGAGGGUGAUCGGCCACACUGGAACUGAGACACGGUCCAGACUCCUACGGGAGGCAGCAGUAGGGAAUCUUCCGCAAUGGGCGAAAGCCUGACGGAGCAACGCCGCGUGAGUGAUAGAGGUCUUCGGAUCGUAAAACUCUGUUAUUAGGGAAGAACAAAUGUGUAAGUAACUAUGCACGUCUUGACGGUACCUAAUCAGAAAGCCACGGCUAACUACGUG
rnacentral:rRNA from 1 species